rnacentral:rRNA from 1 species
UAAAAUAUAAAUAAAGCAUAAAAUGGAUGCCUUGACUCGAAUAUCCGAAGAAGGACGUGCAAAUCUGCGAUAAGCCUAGAGGAGUUGAUAAGAGACGUUAAAACUCUAGGAUUUCCGAAUGGGGGAACCCAAUAUAGGUAAUCUAUAUAAUCCUAAAAAAUAGGAAGGACACAUUGAGAAUUGAAAUAUCUAAGUAACAAUGGAAAAGAAAUCAAAAGAGAUUCCCCUAGUAGUGACGAGCGAAGAGGGAGAAGCCCAAACCGUUAAAUAUGUAUAGGUAGCUUUUGUAUUAGCGGUGUUGAAGGAAUAAUAUACAGAGAGGCUAAUAAUCUGGAUAUUUACUAUAAUAAAUAAAAGAAAGAGCUGAGAAACUCUGCCAUAGAAGGUUAAAGCCCUGUAAAUUAAAUUUAAUUUUAGAAAUAUGUAUUAUAUCCUGAGUAGGUUCAGACACGAGAAAUCUGGAUUGAAACAGGGGAGACCAUUCUCCAAGGCUAAAAAGUAUUCGAGAUCGAUAGCGAACAAGUACCAUGAGGGAAAGGUGAAAAGAACCCCGGAAGGGGAGUGAAAUAGAACCUGAAAUUUUAUGCUGAUAAAGAGAUGGAGCCUACGGGUGACAUCGUACUUUUUGUAGAACGGACCAACGAGUUAGUGUAUUUGGCAAGGUUAAGGUAGAAUAAGCCGAAGCCGAAGUGAAAGCGAGCCUGAAGAGGGCAUAAGUCAAAUAUACUAGACCCGAAACUGGGUGAGCUUCCCAUGAGCAGGCUGAAGUAUAGGUAAAACUGUAUGGAGGGCCGAACCAAUUGGAGCUGCAAGUCCUUUGGAUGACUUGUGGGAAGGAGUGAAAAGCUAAUCGAACCCAGAGAUAGCUGGUUCUCCGCGAAAUAGCUUUAGGGCUAGCCUUGGUGAACUAUUAUAUAGGGGUAGAGCUCUGAUUGGGCUAGCGGGCUUCACGGCUUAGUCAACCCAGACAAACUUCGAAUACUAUAUAAAUUACACCAGGAGUCAGACGGUGAGAGAUAAGUCCCAUCGUCAAAAGGGAAACAGCCCAGAUUACUAUCUAAGGUCCCUAAUUAACAACUAAGUGGCAAAGGAUGUGGGGUUGCUGAGACAACCAGGAGGUUGGCUUAGAAGCAGCCAUUCCUUAAAAGAGUGCGUAAUAGCUCACUGGUCAAGCGACCCUGCGCCGAAAAUACAACGGGGCUCAAGUUGUUAACCGAAGAUGUAAAAUCGUAAGAUUGGUAGCGGAGCGUUCUGUAAGCCGCAGAAGGUGAGGGGUAACCCGAGCUGGAGGUAUCAGAAGCGAAAAUGUUGGUAUGAGUAACGAGAGGGAAAUGAAAACAUUCCCCAUCGGAAACCCAAGGUUUCCUACGCAACGGCAGUCGUCGUAGGGUUAGUCGGUCCUAAGGUGAAGCUGAAAGGCAAAGCUGAUGGAUACCAGGUUAAUAUUCCUGGACUACUUAUAUAACUGAAGGGGGGACAUAUUUGGAUAUAAGAGAUACUUAAUUACUUGUAUUACGAAAGCGAAACUAGGGAUAUAGGCAAAUCCGUAUUCCUGCUAAGGUUGAGCUGAGUUAAGUUGAUGGAAGCCAUUAUUGGUGGAAAGAUUCUGCUCUUACUAUAUUCAGGUAUCGAGAAAAGCCUCUAAGGGUUAAUUGUAUAAGUAACCGUACCGCAAUCAAACACAUGUGGGUUGGUGGAGAACACCAAGAUGAACGAGAAAACUAUGCUUAAGGAACUCGGCAAAACAGCGGUCGUAACUUCGGGAUAAGACCUGCCUAGAGUGUAAUUUACAAACUAGGCCGCAGCGAAAGAACUCAGGCGACUGUUUACCAAAAACACAGCUCUCUGCAAACUCGUAAGAGGAAGUAUAGGGGGUGAUGCCUGCCCAGUGUCAGAAGGUUACAUGGAUGUGUGAGAGCAUUGAAAUCAAGCCCUGAUGAACGGCGGCCGUAACUAUAACGGUCCUAAGGUAGCGAAAUUCCUUGUCGGGUAAGUUCCGACCCGCACGAAUGGCAUAACGGUCUGAGUACUGUCUCAAGCAUAGACUCGGUGAAAUUGCAAUUACGGUAAAAAUGCCGUAUACUCGCAGCAAGACGGAAAGACCCUAUGGAGCUUUACUAUAGCUUGGUAUUGGGUUAUGGUUUAAGAUGUGCAGGAUAGGUGGGAGACGAAGAAGUGGGAACGCAAGUUCUUAUGGAGUCACUGUUGAGAUACCACCCUUCUUAAAACGUAACUCUAACUCUAGAAGAGGACAGUGCUUGGUGGGUAGUUUAACUGGGGCGGUUGCCUCCUAAAGAGUAACGGAGGCGCACAAAGGUUGACUAUCUCCGGAUGGAAAUCGGAGAGAUAGUGUAUUCGCAAAAGUCAGCCUGACUGAGAGACUAACAAGUCGAGCAGAUACGAAAGUAGGUGAAAAUGAUCCGGCAUUAACAAGUGGAAGUGAUGUCGCUCAACGGAUAAAAGUUACCCUGGGGAUAACAGGCUGAUCGCGUCCAAGAGUUCAUAUCGACGACGCGGUUUGGCACCUCGAUGUCGGCUCGUCGCAUCCUGGGGCUGGAGAAGGUCCCAAGGGUAUGGCUGUUCGCCAUUUAAAGCGGUACGCGAGCUGGGUUCAGAACGUCGUGAGACAGUUUGGCCCCUAUCUGCUGUGAGCGCAUAGGAAUUUGAAAAGAUCUUCUUCUAGUACGAGAGGACCGAAGUGGAUGAACCUCUGGUGUAUCGGUUGUUAAGUAUAUUAGCAAUGCCGAGUAGCUAAGUUCAGAAUGGAUAACCACUGAAAGCAUCUAAGUGGGAAGCCAACUUUAAGAUAAGAUUCCUCUGCCUAGAGCAAUAAGUCCCCUUGGAGACUACAAGGUUGAUAGGUUGCAGGUGUAAGGAUAGUGAUAUUUUGAGCCGAGCAAUACUAAUAGGACGAAAGGAUUUUAAUA